CAUCCACCAGUUUGGUUGGUAACUGAAGUCAUUUGGUAUUGAUUACUGCUAGUGGAACUUUAUAUGGCAACAGAUCUAAGAAAAAGGACCUCUACCUUUUAAAAUGGUUCACAAUAGUGAAACAGUAUUGUUACAAUUGGGAAGCUUUCAGCAUAGGCUUACAAAUAGCUGGUAACGUUCUGAAUACUUACAGCCACUUAACAGCAUAGAAUCAUAGAAUGGUUAGGAUUGGAAAAGACCUUAAGAUCAUCUAGUUACACCCCCCCUGCCAUAGGCAGGGACACCUCACACUAGACCAUGAGCAGCACCACCCAAGCAUGAAGAGGUGGAGUUUCUUUCAACAAGCAUAUCACUUUAUUUAGCAUGCCCCAUCACAAAGAGGAAAUCUCAGUAGAUCAGUGCAAGUCUCCACAGACCACAGUGGGUCUUCAAACAAGCCUUUAUGUGGGAACAGCUUUGUGCAGAUACAAUCUGUCUACAAAUGUAGCCACAAGCUAGAAGAUAACUUCUGUACUAUUUAAAGAAGUGUCAAAUGGGAAAGGUAAUCACCCAUCCCUUGUGGGCCUCAUUUGACCUUCAUCUAACAUUUUUCCAUGGAUGUAUCACUGAGCAAGGCCAAAUGUGGCCACACACCAUCAAUUAUGAAAACACCCAUAGAAAAGAUACAGUGUGGUGAAGAAUGAUAUGAACAAAUCUGGAUGACAUUUAACAUAAGAGUUAAUGGUCAUAUUGUUCUUGGGGUUUAUUGAAAAUUACCAGGCAGGCUCUGGAAAAUAUGUGCUGUUGGGAAUCUGUUCAGAGUUUUUAUCAAAGCUUCCUUGCAAUUAGUGGCAAAUUACUGCUCAUUCCUCUGGAAUUCCUUGAAAUAAGAUCACCCUGAUUUCAGCCUGAUACUAUUCAUGGCCUCACAAUCUGCAGCUAUAUGGGAAACAUAUUCUAAUAAUAAAUGCAAUAGCACGUAUUUGUGUGGCAAGCAGCAGUGAUAAAACCUUAGCACCAUUCAAUAAGCAUUUUCACCAUCAAGGGGCUUAACUUGCCAACCUCAAUCUUUACAGCUGUCUCUAAGGUGUGUGAUCGGUUUAUCUCAGUAAAUGCAGUGAUAGGAGUGGCUAAUCUCUGCAUCCCAAGGCUGGAAGGUCACACCCUGAUAAACUCAGUGCUGGCAUGACAAUGUACUGCAGCUCACUCUGCCAUCUCAGACAGUGAAGGCACACAUAUGGGAGUUGCUUGCCUGAGGCCGGGGUGCUGGAGCUGAACCAGGAGCCAGGAGUUUAAGGAGCCUGUUGGCCUCAUCCUCCCAGCACUUGCAAACAUCUCGGCUUCUGGACUGCUUUUCCCUUGCACCUCAGAAAGGGGAAUUCUUUCACUUUCCAAGACUGAUUUCUCCCUGGGGGUCACCUGAAGUCCCAGGGCUUUAUCCAGCAGAGAAAUGCAGACAGUCAACUUCAUGUGCAGCUGUGUGACCACUGGUUUCAAGGAGCACCAGAGAUGCAUUUGCAUUUAUGCCACUGCAGGAUCAGUUCAUGGUCGUUUAUUUUACUUAGGUGUGCUUGCAACAAAGCAAGGAUGGAAAGUGCUUUAUUUUAUGUGGAAAAGAAAAUGGGAGGGGAAGAGGAAAAAUGAUGCAGUCACCAGAAAAUUAUUUGAAACAGUAACAAAGUGUUAAUAGUCUAAUGAAGAGGAGAGAUGGAACACAAACCUACAAAGCUUGUUGCAUGGUUGUAUUUUGUUUAAUAAGAGAAUUUAUUUUUAAGUGAA